rnacentral:rRNA from 1 species
CGCGGCCUAUCAGCUUGUUGGUGGGGUAAUGGCCUACCAAGGCGACGACGGGUAGCCGGCCUGAGAGGGCGACCGGCCACACUGGGACUGAGACACGGCCCAGACUCCUACGGGAGGCAGCAGUGGGGUAUAUUGCACAAUGGGCGAAAGCCUGAUGCAGCGACGCCGCGUGAGGGAUGACGGCCUUCGGGUUGUAAACCUCUUUCAGCAGGGAAGAAGCUUUUGUGACGGUACCUGCAGAAGAAGCACCGGCUAACUACGUGCCAGCAGCCGCGGUAAUACGUAGGGUGCGAGCGUUGUCCGGAAUUAUUGGGCGUAAAGAGCUUGUAGGCGGUUUGUCGCGUCUGCCGUGAAAAUUCAGGGCUUAACCCUGGACGUGCAGUGGGUACGGGCAGACUAGAGUAUGGUAGGGGAGACUGGAAUUCCUGGUGUAGCGGUGGAAUGCGCAGAUAUCAGGAGGAACACCGAUGGCGAAGGCAGGUCUCUGGGCCAUUACUGACGCUGAGAAGCGAAAGCAUGGGGAGCGAACAGGAUUAGAUACCCUGGUAGUCCAUGCCGUAAACGUUGGGCGCUAGGCGUGGGUCUCAUUCCACGAGAUCCGUGUCGCAGCUAACGCAUUAAGCGCCCCGCCUGGGGGAGUAC